rnacentral:rRNA from 1 species
AUGAGUGCGGUUACGCAGAGUGUUCGGUCCGUUCAAUCUGGACUGAACGAUGCUGUCCAAGGCCUUCUGACAGGCUUUGAGGCAUCUUCCAUGGCCGCAGCUGCUAAUGCCGCAACGUUAGAGGAGAUAGAUCAGAAGCUUAAGCUUUCUGAUCAGGAGCUUGACCUUGUUAACAAACGGCUUGACGAGGCGCAAACUGCUGCCGCCGAGGUCGAGGGCUUGAGGGAGGCCCUGAAGAAGGUCAAGGUCGAGGCUGCCGAGAAGAAGACAGCCGCUGAGAAGCGGUGGUGGGGCUUGAGCAGGCCAGGCUUGCUGCCGAGCAUCAUGAGGCUUGGGUGA